CGGCGUGCCUAGACAUCGAAAGUCGAACGCUUUGUCUUUAACUGAUAUGACGAGCUUGCUCUGAUUUGAUUUUAUCUGACAAAGAGUGGCGAACGGGUGAGUAACACGUGGGUAACCUACCUCUUAGCAGGGGAUAACAUUUGGAAACAAGUGCUAAUACCGUAUAAUACCAACAACCGCAUGGUUGUUGGUUGAAAGAUGGUUCUGCUAUCACUAAGAGAUGGACCCGCGGUGCAUUAGCUAGUUGGUAAGGUAACGGCUUACCAAGGCAAUGAUGCAUAGCCGAGUUGAGAGACUGAUCGGCCACAAUGGGACUGAGACACGGCCCAUACUCCUACGGGAGGCAGCAGUAGGGAAUCUUCCACAAUGGGCGCAAGCCUGAUGGAGCAACGCCGCGUGUGUGAUGAAGGGUUUCGGCUCGUAAAACACUGUUAUAAGAGAAGAACGGCACUGAGAGUAACUGUUCAGUGUGUGACGGUAUCUUACCAGAAAGGAACGGCUAAAUACGUGCCAGCAGCCGCGGUAAUACGUAUGUUCCAAGCGUUAUCCGGAUUUAUUGGGCGUAAAGCGAGCGCAGACGGUUAUUUAAGUCUGAAGUGAAAGCCCUCAGCUCAACUGAGGAAUGGCUUUGGAAACUGGAUGACUUGAGUGCAGUAGAGGAAAGUGGAACUCCAUGUGUAGCGGUGAAAUGCGUAGAUAUAUGGAAGAACACCAGUGGCGAAGGCGGCUUUCUGGACUGUAACUGACGUUGAGGCUCGAAAGUGUGGGUAGCAAACAGGAUUAGAUACCCUGGUAGUCCACACCGUAAACGAUGAGUGCUAGAUGUUCGAGGGUUUCCGCCCUUGAGUGUCGCAGCUAACGCAUUAAGCACUCCGCCUGGGGAGUACGACCGCAAGGUUGAAACUCAAAGGAAUUGACGGGACCCGCACAAGCGGUGGAGCAUGUGGUUUAAUUCGAAGCAACGCGA
rnacentral:rRNA from 1 species